UACGUAGGGUGCAAGCGUUAAUCGGAAUUACUGGGCGUAAAGCGUGCGCAGGCGGUUUUUGUAAGUCUGUCGUGAAAUCCCCGGGCUUAACCUGGGAAUUGCGAUGGAGACUGCAAGGCUAGAAUCUGGCAGAGGGGGGUAGAAUUCCACGUGUAGCAGUGAAAUGCGUAGAGAUGUGGAGGAACACCGAUGGCGAAGGCAGCCCCCUGGGUCAAGAUUGACGCUCAUGCACGAAAGCGUGGG
rnacentral:rRNA from 1 species